UACGGGGGGGGCAAGCGUUGUUCGGAAUUACUGGGCGUAAAGGGCGCGUAGGCGGCCAACUAAGUCAGACGUGAAAUCCCCAGGCUCAACCUGGGAACUGCGUCUGAUACUGGAUGGCUUGAAUCCGGGAGAGGGAUGCAGAAUUCCAGGUGUAGCGGUGAAAUGCGUAGAUAUCUGGAGGAAUACCGGUGGCGAAGGCGGCAUCCUGGACCGGCAUUGACGCUGAGGAGCGAAAGCCAGGGGAGCAAACGGG
rnacentral:rRNA from 1 species